rnacentral:rRNA from 1 species
GACGAACGCUGGCGGCGUGCCUAAUACAUGCAAGUCGAGCGAAGUUUUUCUGGUGCUUGCACCGGAAAAACUUAGCGGCGAACGGGUGAGUAACACGUAAAGAACCUGCCUUAUAGACUGGGACAACUAUUGGAAACGAUAGCUAAUACCGGAUAACAGCAUUAACUGCAUGGUUGAUGUUUGAAAGUUGGUUUUGCUAACACUAUGAGAUGGCUUUGCGGUGCAUUAGCUAGUUGGUGGGGUAAAGGCCUACCAAGGCGACGAUGCAUAGCCGACCUGAGAGGGUGAUCGGCCACACUGGAACUGAGACACGGCCCAGACUCCUACGGGAGGCAGCAGUAGGGAAUCUUCCGCAAUGGGCGAAAGCCUGACGGAGCAACGCCGCGUGAGUGAAGAAGGAUUUCGGUUCGUAAAGCUCUGUUGUUAGGGAAGAAUGAUUGUGUAGUAACUAUACACAGUAGAGACGGUACCUAACCAGAAAGCCACGGCUAACUACGUG